rnacentral:lncRNA from 1 species
UUAUCACAAGGACAAUCAUCUCAAGCACCACAUGUUUCACAAAGAGUUUCACAGGGACAAGGAGAAGGGCAAAGACAAGGACAAGGGCCGCAAGGAGAAGGGUUACAAGGCUGGAGAUCAUGGUUUGAAUGUUCAAACUAAGCUUUAGUGAACCUCAUGAUACGUUUUUGUUUUGGUAUUUUGGUCGGAUCAUGUUCCUGAACCUCAUGUUCUGUUUUUUUUUGGGUAGUUUGGUCGGAACAUGUUCCUGAAGCUUAUGAUCUGUUUUCUCGGUAUUUUGGUGGAUUAUUAUGGCUUGUUCUAGAACCUGCAACCAUCUUUUUGCUUGUUUAACAACUUUAUCUUGACUCAUUUCAAUCUAUGUUUCAUAAAUUUGGUUUCAUUUUAAUUCAUUCAUUCAUUACCAUACCCUUCUGUUGUAAUUCUCACUUUCACACCAAGGUAAGCUCUCUUACUCUCCUAUUACUAUGUCUCCAACCUUACAUCUCUCUAGUUCACUGUGGUUUGUGUCUUGUUCUUUGCUUAACACAAACCGUCUUUUUGAUUAUUCUUGAAUGAUGUUUACACACAUACUUAUUUUGGGCCUAACAAAACAAUUAGCCCAAUCACUUUUAUUACAAAACACGCAGCCCAACUCUUUCUUCUUGUUGACUUGUGUCUUCUUCCUCUCUUUCGUUGACUUUGCUCCUUACGACACUGCGACUUCUUCUUCGUUGUGCUUCUUCUCUUUUCUUCAUCUUCUUCUCUCUGGUUCCUUUUUUCUUUGUUGCAGGAUUUAAUCAACAACUUAAAUUUAUUUUCAUUUGCUUUCCACUUGCGGAUUUCCAUCUUGCUCAACAUUGCAUCUUCCUUCAUCUCUAGUAUAACAACACAUAACUCAUUUGACUCCGAUUUAGCUUUGCUUAUCUCAUUCUCAUUCGAGAGAAUUAAAAAAAAAACCAGAAAACAAGAGAAAUCGGAGGAAGCUUUUGAUUUCUAGGGUUAAGGAUUUGUUUUUGAUUUGGGAAUUUUCGAUUUGUGUAUAAUGAGAUCGAUUUGGGGUUUUAUAAUUACAGCAGACGACGCGAUACGAUCUCGUUUUAGUUUUAACAAAACCAUUUAACAGAGAUAAAACGGAGUUUAAUUACUCUGUUAGACAAUUUAACGUCAUG